rnacentral:rRNA from 1 species
GACGAACGCGGCGGCGUGCCUAAUACAUGCAAGUAGAACGCUGAAGGAAGGGGCUUGCUCUUUCCGGAUGAGUUGCGAACGGGUGAGUAACGCGUAGGUAACCUGCCUGGUAGCGGGGGAUAACUAUUGGAAACGAUAGCUAAUACCGCAUAAUAGUAGAUAUCGCAUGAUAACUGCUUAAAAGGUGCAAUUGCAUCACUACCAGAUGGACCUGCGUUGUAUUAGCUAGUUGGUGAGGUAACGGCUCACCAAGGCAACGAUACAUAGCCGACCUGAGAGGGUGAUCGGCCACACUGGGACUGAGACACGGCCCAGACUCCUACGGGAGGCAGCAGUAGGGAAUCUUCGGCAAUGGACGGAAGUCUGACCGAGCAACGCCGCGUGAGUGAAGAAGGUUUUCGGAUCGUAAAGCUCUGUUGUAAGAGAAGAACGAGUGUGAGAGUGGAAAGUUCACACUGUGACGG